GGCCGCUUUGGCCUCUCCGCCUCUCACGCUGGGAAGCGCUGCCUCCCACCGCCCUCAACUCGGGCCUCCGAGAGGAAUAAACGCCCCCCCAAGCCCCCCUCCUCUGGUCCACCCUCCCCUGACCCAGCCUGGGGUCUUCCCCUACAGCAGAUGAAUUGCUGUCUUCCACCCCCGCCUGGCCACUAGGGCUCUAUUUUUAACCCACCUCAAACUCUCUGAGUCAGAAUCACAGGGCUCCCAGGUAGCAGCUCCCCCCAGCCGCCUGAGGCUGCCUCCCAACCAGUGCGAUUCAGACAAGGGCAUCCAGCUAGCGCUGGGCUUAUGACGCAGACAAAAUGACCUUUUACCCCUGCCUCUUCCCUGGUCCCUCUCAGUCUUGGGCUGAGGUCCUCGUCCCUCAGCAUACAAUGAGGGCUAGUUGCAGCCAUUCCCCAAGGAGAAGUUCCAUGACAGUCCUGGCUUGACCAUAUGGGGACAAGAAAACUCCCCCACACAACGCAGAGGAGGGACUGAUGAUGGGAGUGUGAGGCCUACCCAAGACGAGGAAGAAGGUGGUUCUCCCCCUUCCCCAAGUCUCCUUUGAUCAUAAAACUGUAGCCUACCAAGUUCUUGGCAUGGUACCCUCUCACCCACCCACUUGUAAGCCUCACAAGCAUCC
rnacentral:lncRNA from 1 species